rnacentral:rRNA from 1 species
UACAGAGGGGGCAAGCGUUGUUCGGAAUUACUGGGCGUAAAGGGCGCGUAGGCGGCCGCCUAAGUCAGACGUGAAAUCCCUCGGCUCAACCGGGGAACUGCGUCUGAUACUGGGUGGCUUGAAUCCGGGAGAGGGAUGCGGAACUCCAGGUGUAGCGGUGAAAUGCGUAGAUAUCUGGAGGAACACCGGUGGCGAAGGCGGCAUCCUGGACCGAGAUUGACGCUGAGGCGCGAAAGCCAGGGGAGCAAACGGG